rnacentral:rRNA from 1 species
UACGUAGGGUGCGAGCGUUAAUCGGAAUUACUGGGCGUAAAGCGUGCGCAGGCGGUAAGUUAAGUCUGAUGUGAAAGCCCCGGGCUCAACCUGGGAAUGGCAUUGGAAACUGGCUUGCUGGAGUGUGGCAGAGGGGGGUGGAAUUCCGCGUGUAGCAGUGAAAUGCGUAGAGAUGCGGAGGAACACCGAUGGCGAAGGCAGCCCCCUGGGCUGACACUGACGCUCAGGCACGAAAGCGUGGGGAGCAAACAGG